UACGAAGGGGGCUAGCGUUGCUCGGAAUCACUGGGCGUAAAGGGUGCGUAGGCGGGUCUUUAAGUCAGGGGGGAAAUCCUGGAGCUCAACUCCAGAACUGCCUUUGAUACUGAAGAUCUUGAGUUCGGGAGAGGUGAGUGGAACUGCGAGUGUAGAGGUGAAAUUCGUAGAUAUUCGCAAGAACACCAGUGGCGAAGGCGGCUCACUGGCCCGAUACUGACGCUGAGGCACGAAAGCGUGGGGAGUAAACAGG
rnacentral:rRNA from 1 species